UGGGGAAUAUUGCACAAUGGGCGAAAGCCUGAUGCAGCAACGCCGCGUGAGUGAUGAAGGCCUUCGGGUUGUAAAGCUCUGUCUUUUGGGACGAUAAUGACGGUACCAAAGGAGGAAGCCACGGCUAACUACGUGCCAGCAGCCGCGGUAAUACGUAGGUGGCAAGCGUUGUCCGGAUUUACUGGGCGUAAAGGAUGCGUAGGCGGAUUUUUAAGUGAGAUGUGAAAUACCCGGGCUUAACUUGGGUGCUGCAUUUCAAACUGGGAAUCUAGAGUGCGGGAGAGGAGAAUGGAAUUCCUAGUGUAGCGGUGAAAUGCGUAGAGAUUAGGAAGAACACCAGUGGCGAAGGCGAUUCUCUGGACCGUAACUGACGCUGAGGCAUGAAAAGCGUGGGUAGCAAAACAGGAUUAGAUACCCUGGUAGUCCACGCCGUAAAACGAUGAGUACUAGGUGUAGGAGGUAUCGACCCCUUCUGUGCCGCAGUUAACACAGUAAGUACUCCGCCUGGGAAGUAACGAUCGCAAGAUUAAAAACUCAAAA
rnacentral:rRNA from 1 species